rnacentral:rRNA from 1 species
GACGAACGCUGGCGGCGUGCCUAACACAUGCAAGUCGAGCGAUGAAGCCCUUCGGGGUGGAUUAGCGGCGGACGGGUGAGUAACACGUGGGUAACCUGCCUCAAAGAGGGGGAUAGCCUCCCGAAAGGGAGAUUAAUACCGCAUAACAUUGGUUUUUCGCAUGGAGAACCAAUUAAAGGAGUAAUCCGCUUUGAGAUGGACCCGCGGCGCAUUAGCUAGUUGGUGAGGUAACUGCUCACCAAGGCGACGAUGCGUAGCCGACCUGAGAGGGUGAUCGGCCACAUUGGAACUGAGACAUGGUCCAGACUCCUACGGGAGGCAGCAGUGGGGAAUAUUGCACAAUGGGCGAAAGCCUGAUGCAGCAACGCCGCGUGAGUGAUGAAGGCCUUCGGGUUGUAAAGCUCUGUCUUUGGGGACGAUAAUGACGGUACCCAAGGAGGAAGCCACGGCUAACUACGUGCCAGCAGCCGCCGUAA